rnacentral:RNase_P_RNA from 1 species
UAGAUAAACGCUGGGAUUUUUAAGAUCCUUGAGGAAAGUCCAUGCUCGCACAAUCUGAGAUGAUUGUAGUGUUCAUGCCUAGGGAAAAAAUAACCUAGGGUAGCAAUUGCUAACGGCGAUAUCUAAUCCUAAGUCUUUGAUAUGGAUUAGAUUCGUAAAGUGCCACAGUGACGAUGCUUUUGGAAACAAAAGAAUGAAACGCGGUAAACCCCAUGAGCGAGAAACCCAAAAUAUGGUAGGGGAGUCCUGAUGAAAGAAUUGAAUGGAUUCAGGGACCAACUUAGUUGGUAGAUAAAUGUUUAUCGCCUAAGAAAUUAGGAACGGAACAUGGCUUAUU